rfam:Microvirga lotononidis strain WSM3557 genomic scaffold Micloscaffold_15, whole genome shotgun sequence.
UUCAUGGGGAUUGCGAUCUCCCCACGAGGCGACAUGCCCAAGCAUCGCAUCCGCUCUGAACCAUUACGGAUGCACCCAUG